rnacentral:rRNA from 1 species
AACGAACGCUGGCGGCAUGCCUAACACAUGCAAGUCGAACGGCACCUUCGGGUCUGCUUGCUCACGCGUGCGUAACGCGGCGGAACCUGGCCGUAUGCUCCGAAUUACACCUCGUCGGGGGUGCUAACACCGGAUAAUUUCCUCGGACCAAAGAUUUAUCGUCCUGGGAUGGGCCGGCGUUGGUUUAGCUGGUUGGUAGGGUAAAAGCCUAUCAAGGGGAGGCUCCUUAGCUGGUUAGAGAGGAUGAGCAGCCACACUGCGGCUGAGAUACGGCCGAGAAUACUACGGGAGGCAGCAGUGCGGAAUAUUGAACAAUCGGCGAAAGGAUGAUGCAGCACGGCUGCGUGAGUGAUGAAGGUGUUAGAGUUGUGAAGCUCUUUUAGCCGGGGUGAUAAUGACGGUACCGGGAGAAUAAGCACCGGCUAACUUCGUG